rnacentral:rRNA from 1 species
GUCUUUUUGAUAAUAAUUUAAAGUCUAACCUGCCCAUUGAAUUUUAAAAGGCCGCAGUAUAUUGACUGUGCGAAGGUAGCAUAAUAAUUAGUUUUUUAAUUGAAAGCUGGAAUGAAUGGUUGAACGAGAAAAUAAUUGUCUCUAUUUUAAUUAAUUAGAAUUUUAUUUUUAAGUUAAAAAGCUUAAAUAAAUUUAAAAGACGAGAAGACCCUAUAGAGUUUUAUAGAAUUUUAUUUUUAAUUUAAAUAGAAUUGUUUUUAAUUAUUAAUAGAUUUUUAUUUUAUUGGGGUGAUAGAAAAAUUUAAAAAACUUUUUUUUUUAUAAGAACAUUUAUAAAUGAAAAAUUGAUCCAUUAUUUAUGAUUAUAAGAUUUAAUUACCUUAGGGAUAACAGCGUAAUUUCUUUAAAGAGUUCAAAUCGAAAAAGAAGAUUGCGACCUCGAUGUUGGAUUAAAAUAAUAUUUGGUGUAGAAGCUAAAUUAAUUAGGUCUGUUCGACCUUUAAUAUUUU